AUGGCGGAAUCCCGAAAAGCCAAAAGAGUAGGGA
rfam:Bergeyella zoohelcum ATCC 43767 genomic scaffold supercont1.1, whole genome shotgun sequence.